UAUCCAUGAUGUGGACAAUCUCUUUGGCAUUCCCUAAAUCUCUCCCAAGCAUCAUAAAGAUUUUCGUCUUCUUUUUCUUCAAAAGUUAUUAUCUAAUUCCUUAAAAG
rfam:Eutrema salsugineum unplaced genomic scaffold scaffold_12, whole genome shotgun sequence.